AAUCUUCUCAACUGACGCCCUAGCUCCCGCUCUUCAAUUAGCCUCCCACCCCCACGCCAGAAAUGGCCACAGCCAAUGGUCUCGCGCUCGAGAAAGAGCAAAGAUUGGCAUCUUAGGCAACCAAUGCAUUUUGGAGAAAGAGGGCGGUUCUUCGUAGGUCAAUCUUUAGUGCUUCGGUGAUUGUUUGAGGCGUGGCCACCAGUAGCAGAGUGGUGGGAAAUGACUGCAGAGGGAACAAACGCCUGUCAUCCAUGUUUAGCUCAAUUCACCUUGGCUGCUCAAAUUCUAUCCAUCCUUACUCAGAAGAAAGACCCAUUGUUUUAAUGGGGCAAAUAAGUGUAAGGAUUGCCACUUUAAAUAACCUAAAAAGCAAUCUAUCCAUUUAGAUACUGUUCGAAGAUAUGAUUCACUCUUCUCCUAGAAAAAGGAAAAGAAACUCAAAAAAUAUUAAAAGAGCAGGAAAAUUCCCCUAAAAGAAAAUAAGCAGAAACUCAGGCAGAGUUUCAGCCCCCACUUUUGUCAAUGGGCCAUUAAGAAGCUGAAGCCACCCUAUUUUCCACAACGAAGGAAGGACAAAAUUACAGGGGCCUGCAACAUCCAAACAGGUAUGGGACACAGAAAAAAGCAAACACCCAAAAAGGAAAAGAAGUCAAGCCAAAGUAAUUAGAAUUUUAAACACAUGAGAAAAGGAGAUAUUCACUAAAACACAGUAAUAGCAAACUGAUUAAUUAUAGGGAACGAACAACUACAAAGGGCUAGGAAAAAGAAGAGAUUGGACUAUAAAACAAUUAUUUGCCAGAUCCAGGACGGAGGAACCAAUCACAAAAAAGCAAGAUUUAAACACCAUAAAACAAACACACACAUGAAUCAAAGGAUUCACGUGCCAAAUCAAAAAUAAUUUCAAAAGACUUUAAAGGGUCACAUAGAAAAAUCAAAAGACCUUUUAGGAUAUAAAAAGCGUUUUUCUUAACAGCUCAAACAGUCUAGCCUCCGAACGUUGUGCUUGUAUUUGUUUCUUGCCUGCCUUCCUAUAAACAAUAAACUAAUUCUGCUCUCAAGCAGCUGACCUCCAAUCAUUUCGAAGUAAUCUCCCAGCCGGGAGUUUUGAAUUCAAGAAGGGAAAGCUCUGCCUUCCAACAAUCCUUAAAGGGAAAGGCUUCUUUUUCUUCCAACAAUUGGUGACUCUCCCAGCCAACCCAGCCACCAGACGGGGCCCAGAGAUCAAAACUCAGCCGCCACAGACCUUCUUUGUCUGGGGAAAAUAUCUACGGACCCUGCCCUGGAGGCAUCAGGUAGUAAAGAGAGUCCUUGAGCUUUGCAUUCAGCAGCUGCUUGAAAGCAGGCUUCUCUGACUUAAUGACCUCUAGAUGGUUGGCUGAGAAUUAUGCAAACUGAAUCCAAGACUACAGAAAGCUACGUUGUAUGCACCAACUGAGAGCCGAGGUGGCGCAGUGGUUAGAGUGCAGUACUGCAGCUACUUCAGCUGACUGCUAGUUCAGCAGCUCAGUGGAUCAGAUCUCACCGGCUCAAGUUGACUCAGCCUUCCAUCCUUCCAAGGUGGGUAAAAUGAGGACCCAGAUUGUUAGGGGGCAAUAUGCUAUUUAGUAUACUGUCUUUGGUGUAAGCUACCCAGAGUCUCGGAGAGUGGGUGGCAUAGAAAUAUGACUAAUAAAAAUAAUAAAUAAAAUAAUAAAAAGAGACUUUGUGCAGUUGUGGCUGCCAUCUUUUGUUUUUAAUUAAUCCAACAUCCCCAUAAUUGACAAAAAUGAAUGGUACAGGUAGUCCUCAACUUAUGAUCACAAUGGAGCCCAACAUUUUUAUUGUUAAGUGAGAAAUUUGUUAAGUGAGUUUUGCCCCACUUCUUUUGCCACAUUUGUUAAGUGAAUCACUAUAGUUGUUAAAUUAGUAAUACGGUUGUUAGGUGAAUUUUAUUUCCUCAUUGACUUUGCUUGUCAGAAGGUCGCCAAAGGGGAUCACAUGACCUUGGGACACAGCAAUGGUAAUAAGUAUGAGUCAGUUAUCAAGCAUUUGAAUGUAAAUCACAUGACCGUUGGAAUGCUACACCAGUCUUAAGUGUGAAAAAUGGUCAAAUGCCUUUUUUCAGUGCUGUUGUACCUUUGAACAGUCACUAAAUGAACUGUUGUAAGUAGAAGACUAGCUGUAUUGAUAUGUAAGCUUCCUAAAUAAAAUUUUCUCAAAUACUAUAUAUGACAAGGGUGUCAAACUC